CCUACGGGAGGCAGCAGUGAGGAAUAUUGGUCAAUGGACGAGAGUCUGAACCAGCCAAGUAGCGUGAAGGAUGACUGCCCUAUGGGUUGUAAACUUCUUUUGUACCGGGGUAAAAUGCUCUACGAGUAGGGUUUUGAAAGUACGGUACGAAUAAGGAUCGGCUAACUCCGUGCCAGCAGCCGCGGUAAUACGGAGGAUCCGAGCGUUAUCCGGAUUCAUUGGGUUUAAAGGGUGCGUAGGUUGUUUUAUAAGUUAGCGGUGAAAUACCGAUGCUCAACAUCGGGGCUGCCGCUAAUACUGUAGGACUAGAGAUCGGAUGCAGCAGGCGGAAUGUGUAGUGUAGCGGUGAAAUGCAUAGAUAUUACACAGAACACCGAUUGCGAAGGCAGCUUGCUAGGCCGGAUCUGACACUGAUGCACGAAAGCGUGGGGAUCGAACAGGAUUAGAUACCCCAGUAGUC
rnacentral:rRNA from 1 species